UGUUGUUUGCGUUUUCUUUAGAUAAAACAAUAAUUGCGGGUUUAGAGUUUCUCAAUUGCAUACAUCGGCUGUUUCAGAUGUCUUGGAGUAUUUAGGGUUUUUCAAUCAACUUGAUGUCGUCGAGAAUCACCAGAAUUUUCAGGGUUUUGUGAGAAUUGCGAGUUUAAGGUUUUCCAAUCAUGGAAUUUGACGAUCAUCUGACGUGUUCUUGGUCUGCCGUAGAAUUAAUUAACAGGUUGUUAUUGUAGCGUGGAUUGCUUUCUUGGUGGACUUGAAUAUAUAUAUUUUACUGCAACCCCAUACAUUUGGCGUUUUGAGGAGUUGCGUGUAUGAUGAUGAGAUGCUUCUGAAGCAGAAACAAGUCAUCGAAUGCCCUUCCAUAUGAUACAUCUGGUCAAACCUUAUGGCAUUUGAGAAACCAUAAGGAGCCCCACCUCAGCUGUUGGCAGAUUUUCUAACGCCUUGAAGUUUAUCGUCGAAGAGGUCCCUAAACUCAUAUGAAAAACAAAAUGCAAUCAUCAGCCAAACUAAACUGUCCUCAGCCCCCUGGAGCUUAACGGAAACUGAAACAGAUUAUGCAAUAAUGCUAUGACGCACAUAUUCGACAAACUUGUCUCGAAGUACAGUACUGGGGCAGUUACUGACUUACUGGAUAUGUCAUAUAGUUGUCAUAGAUGCUUUUAAAGCGGAAGAAUGUGCUGAGGUGGCAACGAAGCCUCUGAAAGCCCUUCCAUAUGACACACCUGGUUGAAGUUUAUGGCAUUUGAGUACCCCAUAAGGGGUCCCAGCUCAUCUGUUGGCAGAUUUUUGACAUGUUGAAGUUUAUCGUCAAAGAGGUCCCUAAACUUGUAUGAAAAAAAAGAUGCAAGCAUUAGCCAAAUUGGGAAGUGAACAUGUUAGAAAAUAUCUUCAUUUGCCUUUUUGAUGAAGUUCAACGCGUGACAAGUGUAAAUGUAGGGGUGACAAGUGUAAUACAAAGAUGCUGUUAGUGGAUUAUAUAGAUGCUGCAUGUGCAAAUUUGAUGAAGUUCAACGCGUGAACUUUUUCCCGAGUGAAGUUUCACGCGUGGAACUUAAUGGUGGCGGCGGUGUUCCGAUGCUCAUCACUCGUGAUGGAACCUCCAUCAAGGACCACCCCCAGUCCCCUUAUUAGUUAAACAAUGUAAAAGAAGGUUGUGAAUGUAUGAGAUUGCUUUGACAAUUUGAAACUUUCCUUUUUUAUGUACUCGUUAAACCUUUUCUUUAUUAAGAAAAUUCAGUUUCUCUUUU
rnacentral:lncRNA from 1 species